GCCGGCGCUGAGGGACAGCAGGAGCAGCGGGCUCAGCAGCGACACCCGCAUCCUCGGCGGGGACAGCGGCGGCGGAGCGCGGCGUGCGAGCCCGGCCGGCCCCGGGGCAGGAGGCGGGAAGGGGCAGAGUUGUCCAAGCCUGGAUUUUCCAAGCAGCAGCAGUCUCACUUAUGACAAAAAAAAAGAACUUCAAAUAACUUAAUCCCAGCUGAUGUAUCCCUGUGAAUAUACAUGUCCUGCAACAUCCUGCUCAUCAAAAAGGAUACAGUGCAUUAAAGAUAGAAAACCAGUCUGACAGGGUUACAUGGCAGUACACCGCAGACUCUUACAAGUGGACAGGCACCCAUAGCAGAAUCAUCAGUCUUGAAAAGAGCUACACCUCCCCUUAGUAGACAGAGAAUUUGAAAGGAAGAAAAUAGCUUCAGGUUGGUUUCUGAUGUUUUUUUUUUAAACUGGUUGAAUAUAACCCAUUUUGUUUUCCACCACUUACUCAGUAGCAUUGCCUCA